rnacentral:lncRNA from 10 species
GUGAUCGUAGAUAUGGUGGCUGCGGGCACGGCUAUAAUGGAUUUGGUAGAUAGAAACAAUUUUGAAGGUAGAGAAAGCUAUAACGAUUUUUGGCAAUUACAAUAAUCAAUCUUCAAAUUUUGGGCCUACGAAGGGAGGGAACUUUGGAGGCAGAAACUCUAGUUCCUAUGGCAGGCACAGAUUAGAGUUAAGGUAGAGGUUAAGACUAAUUUAUCAAACAGAUAUCUAAUGCUGAACACAGAGACCCAGCCUGUAUCACCCUCCAGUGACUUCCGCCUGAGAGGCAUGGCCCACAGUCCGAGCUCUUAGAGCCUCCAAUAAGCUUAAUUCUAAAGAAAAAUUACUUGUAACUUGCAAGUAUGGUCAAACUCCCAAACGGGAGGGCAGAAUGACAUUUUCAGACAUGCACUAUCUCAAAAACAAAAUAAAUGUAUUACCCAUCCUCUCUUUUCAAGAAGCUAUGGGAAAAUGUGCUCCACCAAAAUAAGAGUAUAAACCAAUAAAGACGACAACGUGAUACAGAAAAUUAGUUCAAAAUAGAAGAGGAGUCAAGGGAUUCCUAGGAGGAUGGUGAACAGACAUUCCAAAAUGCUAGCUGGAAUCUGGACCAGACUGGAGAGGAGUGAGUCUAAAUGGACAUGCCUCUGCCUGUUAGAACCAUGAUCCCCACUGCUUUGGCACAGUCUUUUUUUUUUUUUUUUUUUUUAAACACCUGGAGAAAUGUUCUGGUGAGACUGGCCCGGAUACGAAUCUAGUGAUCUUGACAAUUUGCUAAUAAAUUCCUUAUUCUUUCUUCCAGGUCCUGCUGCCUAAAUCAACUGUGGACAUUUAUUCAUUCUGCCAAAGUGUUCUGUUAUCACUGACUUCUGCGAGCUGGAACAAGCUUAGCAGCAAGAAACCCAGGGUAAUUCAUGCCACUCCCACUGAUCACGUGGUUAGUACCUGCUUUGCAUUACAGUCCUUGCAAAUGUAUGGACUGUGGUGAGCUUCAUGGUCUCUCCCUCUGAAUAUACCAGAAAGCCCCCUUAUAAAGUCCCAGGAUGCAGAAGACUGCAAGUUCAUCUUGUCCUAGACAACUUUACCUAACAGCGGUGACCAUACCCUCCUCACACAACUAGCUUUGUAUUUGCCGCCCACAUUUAAAAAAUCUAUAUAAUAUUUAGGACUACAAAUAGUUAUAUAUACACACACACUCUAUCAUUUAACUAUGAAAACUAUGAAGAAAACCAAGGGAAUGCAUAACCCUAAAUUCUAGAUGAUUUACCUGUGAAGAGGGGAGGCAUGAAGAAGUAUGAUGAGAAUCAGCAAAUGCAGGAGGAUUCUAUUAGGUUGGUGCAAAAGUAAUCGUGGUCUUUGCCAUUAAAAGUCAUGACAAAAACCGCAAUUGCUUUUGCACCAACUUAAUAAAUUCUAUUUCAUAACCUUGGUGGAGGAUUCAAGGGUUAGGUUUUUUUCUGUUGUUCUUUGGACUGUACAUUUUACACAUAAUUUCACAUG